AGUUGGCUUCCAUAAAACAAAUUAGGAGGUGAACCUACCAUGUGUUCCACAAUCCCAUCAUCGGGAAACAACAAAAACAAAAAAAAUUAAAGCCUAAAUAAAUAAAACGGAAAGGAAAGGAAAAACUUAAACAAGAAAGAAUUGAAAUGUCAUAAAAGAACCUCCUAGAAAAACAAGCCAAGAAACCAACAAACUCUCCAAAACCAGAGAAGAAAAUCAGUAGAAGAACAAAAUCCUAUAAAGAGACAAGCUUUAGUAGAUUAUCGGAGUGAAAGAUGAAGUUUUACGAAAAACCAAAGCAAAAACCUGAUUAGCGUGAAAGACAAUACUUUGACCAAUCCACCGCAGCCACUCUCUCGACCAACUCCGGUGCUUCUUCGAUCCAUAACCAUCCCUCUGAUAAUUGACGUUCCUCCCUUGCCAACACAUGGGCUGCCUCAUUCGCAUCUCUCCUCACAUGGUGAAAGUUUUUUGAUAAUCGAAAGAGAGUCCCCUUCGAUCUAAACAGAAUAGAACCCAAGCUCCCUCACAAACCAAAUCACCUGUUCGCAUGCCCGAGCCUCUGCCAUAAACACAUCUGCAACAUGGGAGUGAGGGUAAGUACAAGCCCCCAUUAUCAAACCCACUUCGUUUCGUAUAAUAAUGCCUAAGAAUGAUCUGUUUUCAUGCACAUUAAAAGAGGGAUCGAAAUUAAUUUUCACAGUGCCCUCCUCUAGUGGCCUCUAGUAAGUAGCCUUAGGUAUACAAACAGAGGAGCUCUCUUGUAAUAACGAUUCUAGUUCUAUUAUUUACCCUAAAAUAAACCUUGAUAUAUCUUAAAUUCAUUGUUUGAUGCCAUUAUGCAUCAAUCAGUUUCUGGCAAACCAAAUAGACCAUAUUGUUAUUGUCAA